rnacentral:rRNA from 1 species
AUACGGAGGGGGCAAGCGUUGUUCGGAAUUACUGGGCGUAAAGAGUACGUAGGCGGAUCGUUAAGUUAGAGGUGAAAUCCCAGGGCUCAACCCUGGAACUGCCUUUAAUACUGGCGAUCUAGAGAUCGAGAGAGGUGAGUGGAAUUCCCAGUGUAGAGGUGAAAUUCGUAGAUAUUGGAAAGAACACCAGUGGCGAAGGCGGCUCACUGGCUCGAUACUGACGCUGAGGUACGAAAGCGUGGGGAGCAAACAGGAUUAGAAACCCCAGUAGUCC